rnacentral:rRNA from 1 species
UGGGAAGUCUUGCACAAUGGGCGAAAGCCUGAUGCAGCAACGCCGCGUGCGGGAAGACAGCCCUAGGGUUGUAAACCGCUUUCAGCAGGGAAGAAACUGACGGUACCUGCAGAAGAAGAUGCGGCCAACUACGUGCCAGCAGCCGCGUGACACGUAGGCAUCAAGCGUUAUCCGGAUUUAUUGGGCGUAAAGAGCUCGUAGGCGGUUCGGUAAGUCGGGUGUGAAAAUUCCAAGGCUCAACCUUGGGACGCCACCCGAUACUGCUGUGACUCGAGUGCAGUAGGGGAGCAGGGAAUUCCUGGUGUAGCGGUGAAAUGCGCAGAUAUCAGGAGGAACACCAGUGGCGAAGGCGCUGCUCUGGGCUGUAACUGACGCUGAGGAGCGAAAGCAUGGGUAGCAAAACAGGAUUAGAUACCCUGGUAGUCCAUGCCGUAAACGUUGGGCACUAGGUGUGGGUCUCAAACCAACGAGAUCCGCGCCGUCGCUAACGC